rnacentral:lncRNA from 1 species
CGCAUUUUUUUGCCUAUUAAAGCUAUAAUAACUGGAUUCUAUUUUUUGUUUUGUAUCUUUAGGCUUUUUUACUUCCAUCAGCUUUGAGUUCCAUUUGAACAUGCAAUCGACCAAUUUCCCACCUACAUUUUUAAAUUUUUCUUAUAAAAUAUUGUGCAGGACUCUGGGUUUCCUUUUGAAAGUAAUGAGGCAUACUUCGAAGCCUGAUCGUCUCAAGGUCUUUUCACAUUGCUCUUUAUUGUGUGAGCAUUUUUUUGCCUAUUAAAGCUAUAAUAACUGGAUUCUAUUUUUUGUUUUGUAUCUUUAGGCUUUUUUACUUCCAUCAGCUUUGAGUUCCAUUUGAACAUGCAAUCGACCAAUUUCCCACCUACAUUUUUAAAUUUUUCUUAUAAAAUAUUGUGCAGGACUCUGGGUUUCCUUUUGAAAGUAAUGAGGCAUACUUCGAAGCUGCUUUAAACUUUUU